AACGAACGCUGGCGGCGCGCCUAAUACAUGCAAGUCGAGCGAGAAAGUGUAGCAAUACACUUGUAAAGCGGCGAACGGGUGAGGAAUACAUGGGUAAUCUACCAUCGAGUGGGGAAUAACCAACCGAAAGGUUGGCUAAUACCGCGUACGCCUCCGAGUCUUCGGGUUCGGAGGGAAAGCUGCACUGUGAGUGUAGCGCUCUUUGAUGAGCUCAUGUCCUAUCAGCUUGUUGGUAGGGUAAUGGCCUACCAAGGCUUUGACGGGUAGCUGGUCUGAGAGGACGAUCAGCCACACUGGCACUGCGACACGGGCCAGACUCCUACGGGAGGCAGCAGUAAGGAAUAUUGCGCAAUGGGCGAAAGCCUGACGCAGCGACGCCGCGUGGGGGAUGAAGGUCUUCGGAUUGUAA
rnacentral:rRNA from 1 species